rnacentral:rRNA from 1 species
ACUCAAAGGAAUAGACGGGAGCCCGCACAAGCAGUGGAGUAUGUGGUUUAAUUCGAAGCAACGCGAAGAACCUUACCAGGGAUUGACAUCCACGGAAUCUGGAGUAAUGUCCGGAGUGCCCUUCGGGGAGCCGUGAGACAGGUGGUGCAUGGUUGUCGUCAGCUCGUGUCGUGAGAUGUUGGGUUAAGUCCCGCAACGAGCGCAACCCUUACAGUUAGUUGCUACGCAAGAGCACUCUAACAGGACUGCCGUUGACAAAACGGAGGAAGGUGGGGAUGACGUCAAAUCAUCAUGCCCCUUAAGCUCUGGGCUACACACGUACUACAAUGGCGUUAAACAACGGGAAGCGAAGCCGCGAGGUGGAGCAAAUCCCUAAAAGGCGCCCCAGUUCAGAUUGCAGGCUGCAACCCGCCUGCAUGAAGUCGGAAUUGCUAGUAAUCGCGAAUCAGCAUGUCGCGGUGAAUACGUUCCCGGGCUUUGUACACACCGCCCGU